rnacentral:rRNA from 1 species
GGUCUCGUUGGUGACCAGCGGAGGGAUCAUUACCGAGUUUACAACUCCCAAACCCCUGUGAACAUACCUCUGUUGCUUCGGCGGGACCGCCCCGGGCCUCUGUGCCUGGAACUAGGCGCCCGCCGGAGACCCCUAACUCUUGCUUUUAUUAUGGAAUCUUCUGAGUCAAACAAACAAAUGAAUCAAAACUUUCAACAACGGAUCUCUUGGUUCUGGCAUCGAUGAAGAACGCAGCGAAAUGCGAUACGUAAUGUGAAUUGCAGAAUUCAGUGAAUCAUCGAAUCUUUGAACGCACAUUGCGCCCGCCAGUACUCUGGCGGGCAUGCCUGUCCGAGCGUCAUUUCAACCCUCAAGCCCCCGGGCUUGGUGUUGGGGACCGGCCGCUGCUCGCGCGGCGGCCGCCCCCGAAUUUCAGUGGCGGUCUCGCUGUAGCCUCCCCUGCGUAGUAGCACACCUCGCAGUGGAAUGCAGCGCGGCCAAGCCGUAAAACCCCCCAACUUCUGAAUGUUGACCUCGGAUCAGGUAGGAAUACCCGCUGAACUUAAGCAUAUCAAUAAGCGGAGGA